rnacentral:lncRNA from 1 species
UGAGCUCAGGCUAAUGGUUGGUUCCAACUGUCAGUUGCUGGCCACACCUCCCAAAGAACUGUCACUUGAGAUUCCUGUCCACAAGUGCCUCUUGACCACGGGAACAGUGUCUGGUUUGGCUACUGCAGACAGGAUGGAUCCCCAGGGAGAGUGGUGCUAUUUGGACUUGUGGCCUUUUUGGAAUAGGUGUAUCAUUGUGGCUGCAGGCUUUAAUAUCCUAGCUCUUGCUCCCUGGAGGCUCUGAUUCUGCUAGCAGCCUUCGGAUUAAGAUGCAGAACUCUCAGCUCUGCCUACACUAUGCCUGCCUGGAUGGUGACAUGUUGCAGCCUUGAUGAUACUUGAUUGAAGCUCUGGAGCUCUAUUAACAUAAUACCCACGUGAAAAAUCGUUUGGUAUGAUUGGAUUUUGGACUACAAUUCUACCCAGAGAAUGGUUUCUCAAUACUGUGGAGAGAAACUGAACUUUAUCAUAGACAAAAGACUGGGAAGAGUCAGAAACUAGAAUUGAAAUAUAUUAUAUACAUGAUUUUUUACUAUAUGUACCUUCUCUGUCAAAUGUUAAUGUUUGUAGAACUUAUACUACUUAUCAUCUUAUAAGUAAAUAUUUCUCUUAUUUAGAAGAAACUGUUCCCAAAGUUUUCCAUGGCUUCAGUAUGAUAAAUUUUAUUUUAUCUUAAGGGAUUCAUGCCAAGAUAAAAGCUGUAUUAUCAAAAACAGUUCAGCUUACUUGCAAACAUAAAUCUGGUGACCAUGUGAGAAUUACAAAAAAACUAAGAAGGUUAGUGGUUUCAUUCUUUAAUAUACAUAUUUCAGAAAACAUCCUUUUCUCUUGUAUGGUAGGACAUUCUUUGACACAUUUUUCAAUGUCAGAAAUAUUAUGUAUAGAAAUAAACACUAAAAUAAUAAUUCUUCAAUAAUAACCUUACAAUGAUUUAAUUCUAUAAUACAUAAUUACACAUACACAUAUAUACAUAUACAUAUAUAUGUAUAUGCAUGUAUAUAUAGUUUGUUAUACUACGGAUUUCCUUUCUUUGCACACUAAAUAAAAUUUAAUUUACUUUU